AAAGUGGCAGGUGGGCCCUUGGGCAGACUUUUGUUCCUCUCAGAGUGCCUGCCCUUGCUGCCACCUCCCUGACUGUGACAAGACCCUGGCAGGUGACAGAAAAGGGCAGUGUUGCUGAUGUGUGUGCCACCUCCAGCGUUAGAGGCACACCCUGCGUCCCAUAUGCAACAUGUGGUUGGGGCAGGAAUACCACCGGCCUGGACUCAGCCUCAGCUCUGCUUUUUACUAGUUGCUCUCUUUUGAAGAUUCCCUCUGCCUCCUAAUUAGCAAUGGACAGUGAUGUAUCAGAGCAAGAUGGAUGGAGAUAAACCCCCAUGGGGCCUCCGGGUGCUCAGUGUCAGGGAAAUGCCAGACUUUCCUUGGCCAAGUGAAAAACCCAGGGGCUGGGAAGAAGCCGGGGUGAAGACAAAGUAGGGACAGAGGCCACUAGUAGAUCCUCAGACGUGGUCAUCGUGGGAGGAAUGGCUGUAUGGUGUGUGAUAUGACCCUGGGGGCACCUACAGACACACACACACACACACACACGACCCAUCCAAUUGUAAGUUACACUGAGUUAAUAAAAUACCUGGGUAAUGUGACUAGGAAAAAGCAA